rnacentral:lncRNA from 1 species
GACUUCAGUUAACUGAGAGCUGGGCACACCUAGGCCUCUCAGCUUUCGCCCAGGAGGAGAGUGAAGCUGGGUUCAAGUAGGACAGAAACUUCUCUUCCUGAUUUAAAAUGCAUUCCCGAAGUAAAACAAAUUGUUACGUUAUCUACUCUGGUGCUUAGUCACAGACAGGCAGACUUUUCCCAUAAAACCCUAUUGCAUGGGAAUAAGUUCAGUAUGGACAACUUGACAACUCAAAUAAGGAAAUAGAAAUUCUUAUUCGAUAGGGCUGAAUCAACAUAUAUAAUGAAGAAAAGCCUAAUUUUCCAGGAAACCUGCUUUUAUUUUACAGAAGUGCAAGCAUAUUCACAAUUAUAAAAUAGAUUAUCUAAGUCUUUAAAUAGUUCCCACUUUUUCUUAAGACUAGCAGGGUAAAUACAGCAGGUGCACUUCUGUUACCUCUCUUCCAGAAGAAAAUCUCCCAUGAGGUUACGGGUAAACUGGGCUACUUCAGAUUUCAAAAUUCAGUAUUUCUUAGAGGUAGAUAUUUUUUCUGGAUCUUUUUAAAAACUUGAUUAUCUGUGUACUAGAUAUUUUAUAACAAAGGUGAUUUCUGUUCUCUAUAUUGUAUACAUAGUAUGUAAUUGUGUAUAUAUUAUAUAUAAGUGUAUAAUAUAACAGGGUCCUUCUCUAGACUGAAUUAACUGAUCUUGAUAUAGCUCGAACAGGGUCAAAAGACUGCUUAAAAAGUCUUGCAUUUUACAGGUGAAGAAAUGAGGCUAACAGAGGUGAAGUGACAAUAAUGACAGUGACCAGUGACAGUCUCCAAAUUUCUAGCCUAAGUCUUUUCCUCUAUGGAACAACACUACUUUUGUUGGCUUGGCAGGCCUGCUGUGAAGCAGAUUUCCUUUUAAACACAAAAUUCGUUAUUCUAUUUGGAAUGGUAAAAUUUUACACUAUAAACUACUAUAAUAUGAUGGUAGUAUGUUGGAAAAAUAUUUCUAGUCUGAGGAUUUAUAGAAUCAGAUAAAUCUAUUAUAUAAAAGUCACUAUUCUAGAUACUUGGGUAAUAAAAAAAAAUAGGCUUCAUAUCUGCUAAAGAGACCAUUGUGUAAAGGUAGGCCACAUGAAGAGAUAACAGAAGAUAGCUUUUGCAAAUUCAAAACUAAGGUGUGUAGCUAAUAAGUGCUACAGGAGUUCUGGAAGAGAAACCACUUCAGGUAGUUUUCUAAGCUAAGACACGGCUGGGAACAAUGCCAGGAAGAGGUUUAAGAUGUUAUGUCUGUGCGGCCUUGAAUGUAAUAUUUUUCAUAGAUUUGAACAAGAGAAAAUUUCAAGGAGGACAAGGGAGUGAGCCCACACUGAGAUCACGGGCUGUGCGUAAAGAUGGAACAGAUGGAUGUACUCAAUAGAUGUAUUCCAGUUAAUAAACAGAGGUCUGAUAAAGACAUGUCAUCACUUUGCAACCACCAAGAAAAAAAUGCAUGUAGGCAAUGAGCAUCCAUUUUGAGAGCAUCACAGAAAGGCAUUACAUACUUUUUGAGGGCAGCAGGGCUUACCUUCAGAUCAAGGCUGCUAAGGCUUACAACAUCAUCAUCU